rnacentral:lncRNA from 1 species
UCUACACUUCCCCCACUGCCAUGUCCCAGAUGACCCCUCCCCUUUGCUGCUCCCCACAGAUCCCCCUCCCCAGCCAGUGCUGAGGCUGGAUCCCCCUUCUGGAGCAGUGAGUGAAGGACUCCCCCUGCUCAUCACCUGCGCAGUCUCCAGAGAUGCCAGAGAGUGGAGAUUUCACUUCUACAAGGACGGAGUCGAGAUCGUCCCCAGGGACAUGGGGUCUGAGAUCAGCACCAUGGAGCCUGGUACCGGCUCUGUGAAUGUCUCUGUGCUCAGCAUCCUACAGGCCGGUCCCAACAAAGCCGGGAAAUUCACCUGCGGGUACGAGGAGAAUGUGAGCGGGAGGUGGAUCCCGUCCCCCAGGAGCCGGGCUGUGAACGUCACUGUGAAUGUCACCGGGACAGCCUCUUACAGUACCCGUGAUAUUCUGCUGACAACAGGUGGCCUCUUGCUUCUGGUUGGAGCCAUUGCUGCUCUCAUCUGUUACUGCAGGAGGAAGGAAAGAGGUGAGUGAAAGGGGGAGACGCACUGUGAUCGCCCAUCUGCUCCCUCGAUAUGGUCUUGCCAAUAACUAUUCUGUAGUGAUCAGCGUAAAUAGUUUUAAACUAUUAACAACCGCAAAGCAACGGGCCAUGGUGUGGGUAUGGAAACCAAAUCUGAAAUAUGCCUGGCAAAUGAGGUAUGUACCUUUCAAUGAGCAGGCAGUGUUUACAAAGAAGAUAGAGAUGUAAAAAUAUUUAUGGGUUUUCAAAUGUAUCUUGGUACGUAUUUAUUUUAAUAACACAUGUUGUCAAAUAACCAACUCAGCUGAAGCUUGAUUUAAGACAAUCAAUCAAUCCAUCCUUAAUACAGCGCUAUAUAGAGAAAAGAAAAGAAAAGAAAACGUACAAACCCUCUGAGCCUGGAGAAGUGUUGGCAGCUUACUUCACUUCUAAGUCACUCCCCAACAUUCACACCUUAUAUACUGGUUUAAAACAAAGAAAAUCCUUUCUUGUGUUUUGUUUUGUUUUUUAAUUAAUAAGCCAGUGACACCUGUGAUUAGGGGGAGGGAUAGCUCAGUGGUUUGAGCAUUGGCCCGCUAAACCCUGGGUUGAAAGUUCACUCCUUAAGAGGGCCAUUUAGGAAACUGUGGUAAAAUUUUGUCUGGGGAUUAGUCCUGCUUUGAGCAGCGGGUUGGACUAGAUG